GAUGAAGAACGCAGCGAAAUGCGAUAAGUAGUGUGAAUUGCAGAAUUCAGUGAAUCAUCGAAUCUUUGAACGCACAUUGCGCCCCCUGGUAUUCCGGGGGGCAUGCCUGUCCGAGCGUCAUUACAACCCUCAAGCUCAGCUUGGUGUUGGGCCCCGCCGCCCCGGCGGGCCCUAAAGUCAGUGGCGGUGCCGUCCGGCUCCGAGCGUAGUAAUUCUUCUCGCUCUGGAGGUCCGGUCGUGUGCUCGCCAGCAACCUCCAAUUUUUUUCAGGUUGACCUCGGAUCAGGUAGGGAUACCCGCUGAACUUAAGCAUAUCAAUAAGCGGAGGA
rnacentral:misc_RNA from 1 species